GACGAACGCUGGCGGCGUGCUUAACACAUGCAAGUCGAACGGAAAGGCCCUGCUUUUGUGGGGUGCUCGAGUGGCGAACGGGUGAGUAACACGUGAGUAACCUGCCCUUGACUUUGGGAUAACUUCAGGAAACUGGGGCUAAUACCGGAUAGGAGCUCCUGCUGCAUGGUGGGGGUUGGAAAGUUUCGGCGGUUGGGGAUGGACUCGCGGCUUAUCAGCUUGUUGGUGGGGUAGUGGCUUACCAAGGCUUUGACGGGUAGCCGGCCUGAGAAGGUGACCGGCCACAUUGGGACUGAGAUACGGCCCAGACUCCUACGGGAGGCAGCAGUGGGGAAUAUUGCACAAUGGGCGGAAGCCUGAUGCAGCAACGCCGCGUGCGGGAUGACGGCCUUCGGGUUGUAAACCGCUUUCGCCUGUGACGAAGCGUGAGUGACGGUAAUGGGUAAAGAAGCACCGGCUAACUACGU
rnacentral:rRNA from 1 species